rnacentral:rRNA from 1 species
GACGAACGCUGACGGCGUGCUUAACACAUGCAAGUCGAACGGUAAGGUCCUUCGGGGUACACGAGUGGCGAACGGGUGAGUAACACGUGGGUGAUCUACCCUGCACUUCGGGAUAAGCCUGGGAAACUGGGUCUAAUACCGGAUAGGACUCCGGACUGCAUGGUCUGGGGUGGAAAGCUUUUGCGGUGUGGGAUGGGCCCGCGGCCUAUCAGCUUGUUGGUGGGGUGAUGGCCUACCAAGGCGACGACGGGUAGCCGGCCUGAGAGGGUGACCGGCCACACUGGGACUGAGAUACGGCCCAGACUCCUACGGGAGGCAGCAGUGGGGAAUAUUGCACAAUGGGCGCAAGCCUGAUGCAGCGACGCCGCGUGAGGGAUGACGGCCUUCGGGUUGUAAACCUCUUUCAGCAUCGACGAAGCGAAAGUGACGGUAGGUGCAGAAGAAGGACCGGCCAACUACGUGCCAGCCGCCGCCGUAA